GCGUCGGUAGCUCAGCUGGUAGAGCAGAAGACUCUUAAUCUUCGGGUCCAAGGUUCGAUCCCUUGCCGACGCACCA
rnacentral:tRNA from 1 species